rnacentral:rRNA from 1 species
GUGAGGAAUUUUCCGCAAUGGGCGAAAGCCUGACGGAGCAAUGCCGCGUGAAGGAUGAAGGCCUAUGGGUUGUAAACUUCUUUUCUCAGAAAAGAAUUAUGACGGUAUCUGAGGAAUAAGCAUCGGCUAACUCUGUGCCAGCAGCCGCGGUAAGACAGAGGAUGCAAGCGUUAUCCGGAAUGAUUGGGCGUAAAGCGUCUGUAGGUUGUUUAAAAAGUAUUCUGUCAAAGAUUAGGGCUUAACCCUAGAUAGGCAGAAUAAACUUUUAAGCUAGAGUUUGGUAGAGGCAGAGGGAAUUCCCGGUGGAGCGGUGAAAUGCGUAGAUAUCGGGAGGAACACCAAAGGCGAAGGCACUCUGCUGGGCCAAUACUAACACUGAGAGACGAAAGCGAGGGGAGCAAAUGGGAUUAGAUACCCUGGUAGUAC